GAUGAACGCUAGCUACAGGCUUAACACAUGCAAGUCGAGGGGCAGCAUGAUUGAAGCUUGCUUCAAUUGAUGGCGACCGGCGCACGGGUGAGUAACACGUAUCCAACCUUCCGUACACUCAGGGAUAGCCUUUCGAAAGAAAGAUUAAUACCUGAUGGUAUCUUAAGCACACAUGUAAUUAAGAUUAAAGAUUUAUCGGUGUACGAUGGGGAUGCGUUCCAUUAGGUAGUAGGCGGGGUAACGGCCCACCUAGCCUACGAUGGAUAGGGGUUCUGAGAGGAAGGUCCCCCACAUUGGAACUGAGACACGGUCCAAACUCCUACGGGAGGCAGCAGUGAGGAAUAUUGGUCAAUGGACGAGAGUCUGAACCAGCCAAGUAGCGUGAAGGAUGAAGGUCCUACGGAUUGUAAACUUCUUUAUAAGGGAAUAAAACCUCCCACGUGUGGGAGCUUGUAUGUACCUUAUGAAUAAGCAUCGGCUAAACUCCGUG
rnacentral:rRNA from 1 species